UCGGUUCCGGUUCACGUGUGCGACCUCGCAGGCGACCCGGCGACC
rnacentral:ncRNA from 1 species